UACAGAGGUGGCAAGCGUUGUUCGGAAUUACUGGGCGUAAAGGGCGCGUAGGCGGUUCGAGAAGUCCCGUGUGAAAUCCCUCGGCUCAACUGAGGAACUGCACGGGAAACUGACGGGCUUGAGUUCGGGAGAGGGAAGCGGAAUUCCGGGUGUAGCGGUGAAAUGCGUAGAUAUCCGGAGGAACACCGGUGGCGAAGGCGGCUUCCUGGACCGACACUGACGCUGAGGCGCGAAAGCUAGGGGAGCAAACGGG
rnacentral:rRNA from 1 species